CCUACGGGUGGCUGCAGUGGGGAAUAUUGCGCAAUGGGCGAAAGCCUGACGCAGCCACGCCGCGUGAGCGAUGAAGGCCUUCGGGUCGUAAAGCUCUGUGGGGAGAGAAGAAUAAAGCCUGUGAAGAGCAGGCCUUGACGGUAUCUCCUUAGCAAGCACCGGCUAACUCCGUGCCAGCAGCCGCGGUACUACGGAGGGUGCAAAAGUUGCGCGCGAUCAUUGGGCGUAAGGCGCACGUAAAGUGCCCGGUGAAAACCCUGGGCUCAACCCAGGAAGUGCAUCCAAAACUGGCGGGCUUGAGUCUCGGAGGGGGUCGGAGAAUGCCCGGUGUAGAGGUGAAAUUCGUAGAUAUCGGGAGGAAUACCAGUGGCGAAGGCGCCGACCUGGACGAAGAUUGACGCUGAGGUGCGAAAGCGUGGGGAGCAAACAGGAUUAGAUACCCCUGUAGUC
rnacentral:rRNA from 1 species